UACGUAGGGGGCAAGCGUUGUCCGGAUUUAUUGGGCGUAAAGAGCGUGUAGGCGGCCAUACAGGUCAGCUGUGAAAACUCGAGGCUCAACCUCGAGACGUCGGUUGAAACCGUAUGGCUAGAGUCCGGAAGAGGAGUGUGGAAUUCCCGGUGUAGCGGUGAAAUGCGCAGAUAUCGGGAAGAACACCCGUGGCGAAGGCGGCGCUCUGGGACGGUACUGACGCUGAGGCGCGAAAGCGUGGGGAGCGAACGGG
rnacentral:rRNA from 1 species